rnacentral:misc_RNA from 1 species
GAUGAAGAACGCAGUGAAAUGCGAUAAGUAAUGUGAAUUGCAGAAUUCAGUGAAUCAUCGAAUCUUUGAACGCACAUUGCGCCCGGCAGUACUCUGCCGGGCAUGCCUGUUCGAGCGUCAUUUCAACCCUCAAGCCCUGCUUGGUGUUGGGGCCCCACGGCUGCCGUGGGCCCUGAAAGGAAGUGGCGGGCUCCCUACAACUCCGAGCGUAGUAAUUCAUUAUCUCGCUUAGGGCGUUGGGCGGCGCUCCAGCCGUUAAAGAACCAUCUUUAACUCAAGGUUGACCUCGGAUCAGGUAGGAAUACCCGCUGAACUUAAGCAUAUCAAUAAGCGGAGGA